rnacentral:lncRNA from 1 species
UCUCCAAAUUUAUUGUUGAACAUUCAGAACAUCAAAUUAUGACAGAUUAAAAAGAAAGCACCAAAUAAUGCUACACAUUAAUACCUGAGCGGAGACUGAAGGCAAAUAUUCGUCUAUUAAACCCUAUACCAUAACAUUGAAACACAGAUAAAAACAUUCACAACACUCUACGGAGUACAAUAAAUAGCACUUUUUGUGAAUUACAACUAGUUAAAUAUAAUAAUGUUAAUUAUAAUUAUACAAAAAGUACACACAAAAUUACACAUAAAUAUAUUUAGUAUACCAUACAUUGUACAAAGUACUAGAGAAGGUCAUGCAUGUUUCAAAGGAAAAAUCUGCAAGAUGACAAUCAU